AGUCGCCGUCUUCUACUUUACUCAUUGUUUCAAACCCCCACUCCAGGAGUAGCGUUGAGUUUCGAAUCGUGAUUCUGGUUCUUACGGAAGGUUUUCUUCACUGUGGUUGGAUUUGAGACUGUUCUUUCUCCUUUGUGCCCUUGAUCUGUACAAUUUUUUUUUAUAGAAAGGAUUGAUAUGCCACACAAAUAUGUCCUUCAAAAGCCUUUU
rnacentral:misc_RNA from 1 species